CGUAGGGGGCAAGCGUUGUCCGGAUUUACUGGGUGUAAAGGGUGCUCAGGCGGAUUUGUAAGUCAGAGGUGAAACUCCGGUGCUUAACACCGGAACUGCCUUUGAUACUGCAAGUCUUGAAUUUGAGAGAGGGUGAUGGAAUAACUGGUGUAGCAGUGAAAUGCGUAGAUAUCAGUUAGAACACCAAUGGCGAAGGCAGUCACCUAUCUCAUAAUUGACGCUAAAGCACGAAAGUGUGGGUAGCAAACAGGAUUAGAUACCCUGGUAGUCCACACCCUAAACGAUGAGUACUAGUUAUUGGGCUUUUUAAAGCUCAGUGACUUAGCUAACGCAUUAAGUACUCCACCUGGGAAGUACGAUCGCAAGGUUG
rnacentral:rRNA from 1 species